CCUAGGACCUCACCCUUUAACAACACUCCUCCAGGAUGACUUGUCACCAAUUGAUCUGUUGUCACAGCCCAAACCCAGCAAAUUUUAAAACCUUAAACGUAAAAAUCACAUUUUAAGCCAAAACCCUAAAAAGAGUAUUUUAGUAAUUUUGAAUGAUCUGAAUCCUAACCUCUUCUACAUAUAUAUUGAGGGAACGACCUAGAGAAGAGGGAGAAACAAUUUUUACGGCGAAGCUCUGCCAAAAUAACCGACAACGCAGCCUGCAGUUACUCUGAGACAUCAGUACCAAGUUGGGAUUUUGGAGAGAAGUUUGCGACCAGAUACGAAAGUGUUAGGCAAAGAACUAAAGUUGGAUUGAUAGAUCUCGUUUCAAGAAAGACACAGCAACUUUCGGAUCUCAAUUACGAGAGCCAUAUUGGGAAGAGAUUUCUGGUUGAUACAAAAGGAUUUAGGUGACGUUCGGGAUAUUGUUAGAAAGCUGACGUUACCAUCUUUCUAUAUCCACUAAGAACGCUUCAUUACGAGUUUCACAUAGGAGUUUUCUGAGAAGUUUUUCCGGUGAACCAGAGAGAGUCAGGACGCGAGUAAGGUGUCUA